rnacentral:rRNA from 1 species
UGCAGUCGACGAUGAAGCCCUUCGGGGUGGAUUAGUGGCGAACGGGUGAGUAACACGUGGGCAAUCUGCCCUUCACUCUGGGACAAGCCCUGGAAACGGGGUCUAAUACCGGAUAACACCGGCCUCCGCAUGGAGGCUGGUUGAAAGCUCCGGCGGUGAAGGAUGAGCCCGCGGCCUAUCAGCUUGUUGGUGGGGUAAUGGCCUACCAAGGCGACGACGGGUAGCCGGCCUGAGAGGGCGACCGGCCACACUGGGACUGAGACACGGCCCAGACUCCUACGGGAGGCAGCAGUGGGGAAUAUUGCACAAUGGGCGAAAGCCUGAUGCAGCGACGCCGCGUGAGGGAUGACGGCCUUCGGGUUGUAAACCUCUUUCAGCAGGGAAGAAGCGAAAGUGACGGUACCUGCAGAAGAAGCGCCGGCUAACUACGUGCCAGCAGCCGCGGUAAUACGUAGGGCGCAAGCGUUGUCCGGAAUUAUUGGGCGUAAAGAGCUCGUAGGCGGCUUGUCACGUCGGGUGUGAAAGCCCGGGGCUUAACCCCGGGUCUGCAUCCGAUACGGGCAGGCUAGAGUGUGGUAGGGGAGAUCGGAAUUCCUGGUGUAGCGGUGAAAUGCGCAGAUAUCAGGAGGAACACCGGUGGCGAAGGCGGAUCUCUGGGCCAUUACUGACGCUGAGGAGCGAAAGCGUGGGGAGCGAACAGGAUUAGAUACCCUGGUAGUCCACGCCGUAAACGUUGGGAACUAGGUGUUGGCGACAUUCCACGUCGUCGGUGCCGCAGCUAACGCAUUAAGUUCCCCGCCUGGGGGAGUACGGCCGCAAGGCUAAAACUCAAAAGGAAUUGACGGGGGGCCCGCACAAGCAGCGGGAGC